GGUAGGUGGAGAUGGAGAAGUUAAGGGUAACUAAUUCCGGUGACUGGUGAAAUGCCAAGAAAGAAAACAGAAGAGCAAGUUUGGGAUCCUCUCCUGCCCUUCAAGCAAUUAUUCCCCUCAAUUCAAGUGUCUGGAAGGGGGCUGGAUAGAAAGCAAGUCUCGAUUCUUGACUAGAGCUGCUGGAUUCUUCAACUACUGGCCUUACCUCCAAAAGAAUCUUAAUAGCCCAAUUUAAAGACUUGUCAUUAGAAUUCCAGCUGUAAAUAGCGCUCAUCAUCACCCCCAUCACCACAGCUGGUAAAGAAGAGAAAUGUGUCGGCUAAUGAGGAGAGCGGCCACCAUUACAGUAAUGAAGAAAAAUGGACAGAAAUGCCACAGGAAUGGCACCUCCACUAUUUCCUGGUGUAAUUGGCAUGAGCCAGCUACUAUGUCUUGAGGAUACCAAGGCAGUGCUAUGGAGAUGCCCACAUGGCAAACAACUAAAAUUUCUGGACAAC